GACGAACGCUGGCGGCGUGCCUAAUACAUGCAAGUAGAACGCACAGUUUAUACCGUAGCUUGCUACACCAUAGACUGUGAGUUGCGAACGGGUGAGUAACGCGUAGGUAACCUGCCUGGUAGCAGGGGAUAACUAUUGGAAACGAUAGCUAAUACCGCAUAAUAUUAAUUAUUGCAUGAUAAUUAAUUGAAAGGUGCAAUUGCACCACUACCAGAUGGACCUGCGUUGUAUUAGCUAGUAGGUGAGGUAACGGCUCACCUAGGCGACGAUACAUAGCCGACCUGAGAGGGUGAUCGGCCACACUGGGACUGAGACACGGCCCAGACUCCUACGGGAGGCAGCAGUAGGGAAUCUUCGGCAAUGGACGAAAGUCUGACCGAGCAACGCCGCGUGAGUGAAGAAGGUUUUCGGAUCGUAAAGCUCUGUUGUAAGAGAAGAACGGGUGUGAGAGUGGAAAGUUCACACUGUGACGGUAUCUUACCAGAAAGGGACGGCUAACUACGUG
rnacentral:rRNA from 1 species